rnacentral:rRNA from 1 species
UACGUAGGGUGCGAGCGUUGUCCGGAAUUAUUGGGCGUAAAGAGCUCGUAGGCGGUUUGUCGCGUCGGCCGUGAAAACUUGGGGCUUAACCCCAAGCCUGCGGUCGAUACGGGCAGACUUGAGUUCGGCAGGGGAGACUGGAAUUCCUGGUGUAGCGGUGAAAUGCGCAGAUAUCAGGAGGAACACCGGUGGCGAAGGCGGGUCUCUGGGCAAUUCCGUGACGCUGAGGCGCGAAAGCGUGGGGAGCAAACGGG